AUACAUGCAAGUCGAGCGAGGCCUUCGGGCCUAGCGGCGGACGGGUGAGUAACACGUGGGUAACCUGCCUGUAAGACUGGGAUAACUUCGGGAAACCGAAGCUAAUACCGGAUAAUAUUUUUGGUUGCAUGACCGAAAAUUGAAAGGUGGCUUUUAGCUAUCACUUACAGAUGGACCCGCGGCGCAUUAGCUAGUUGGUGAGGUAACGGCUCACCAAGGCAACGAUGCGUAGCCGACCUGAGAGGGUGAUCGGCCACACUGGGACUGAGACACGGCCCAGACUCCUACGGGAGGCAGCAGUAGGGAAUCUUCCGCAAUGGACGAAAGUCUGACGGAGCAACGCCGCGUGAGUGAAGAAGGUUUUCGGAUCGUAAAACUCUGUUGUUAGGGAAGAACAAGUGCCGUUUGAAUAAGGCGGCACCUUGACGGUACCUAACCAGAAAGCCACGGCUAACUACGUGCCAGCAGCCGCGGUAAUACGUAGGUGGCAAGCGUUGUCCGGAAUUAUUGGGCGUAAAGCGCGCGCAGGUGGUUCCUUAAGUCUGAUGUGAAAGCCCACGGCUCAACCGUGGAGGGUCAUUGGAAACUGGGGGAACUUGAGUGCAGAAGAGGAAAGU
rnacentral:rRNA from 1 species